GAUGAACGCUGACAGAAUGCUUAACACAUGCAAGUCAACUUGAACUUCGGUUUGGGUGGCGGCCGGGUGAGUAACGCGUAAAGAACUUGCCUCACAGAUAGGGACAACAUUUGGAAACGAAUGCUAAUACCUGAUAUUAUGAUUAUAUGGCAUCGUAUAAUUAUGAAAGCUAUAUGCGCUGUGAGAGAGCUUUGCGUCCCAUUAGCUAGUUGGAGAGGUAACGGCUCACCAAGGCGAUGAUGGGUAGCCGGCCUGAGAGGGUGAUCGGCCACAAGGGGACUGAGACACGGCCCUUACUCCUACGGGAGGCAGCAGUGGGGAAUAUUGGACAAUGGACCAAGAGUCUGAUCCAGCAAUUCUGUGUGCACGAUGAAGUUUUUCGGAAUGUAAAGUGCUUUCAGUUGGGAAGAAAAAAAUGACGGUACCAACAGAAGAAGUGAUGGCUAAAUACGUG
rnacentral:rRNA from 1 species